rnacentral:rRNA from 1 species
GCUAAUAGUGGACACCACAGUCCACCUGGAAUGAAGACUGUGCCAAACGCUCCGGCGCCGAAGGAUGUGGCUGCGGCCGAUUAGGUAGACGGUGGGGUAACGGCCCACCGUGCCAAUAAUCGGUACGGGUCAUGAGAGUGAGAACCCGGAGACGGAAUCUGAGACAAGAUUCCGGGCCCUACGGGGCGCAGCAGGCGCUAAACCUUUACACUGCACGACAGUGCGAUAAGGGAAUCCCAAGUGCACAGGCAUAGAGCCUGUGCUUUUGUACACCCUAGGGCGGUGUACGAAUAAGGGCUGGGCAAGACCGGUGCCAGCCGCCGCGGUAAUACCGGCAGCCCAAAUGAUGGCCGAUCUUAUUGGGCCUAAAGCGUCCGUAGCUGGCCGCACAAGUCCAUCGGGAAAUCCACCUGCCCAACAGGUGGACGCCCGGUGGAAACUGUGUGGCUUGGGACCGGAAGGCGCGACGGGUACGUCCGGGGUAGGAGUGAAAUCCCGUAAUCCUGGACGGACCGCCGAUGGCGAAAGCACGUCGCGAAAACGGAUCCGACAGUGAGGGACGAAAGCCAGGGUCUCGAACCGGAUUAGAUACCCGGGUAGUCCUGGCCGUAAACAAUGUCUGUUAGGUGUGGCUCCCACUACGAGUGGGUGCUGUGCCGUAGGGAAGCCGCUAAACAGACCGCCUGGGAAGUACGUCCGCAAGGAUGAAACUUAAAGGAAUUGGCGGGGGAGCACUACAACCGGAGGAGCCUGCGGUUUAAUUGGACUCAACGCCGGACAUCUCACCAGCAUCGACUGUAAUAAUGACGACCAGGUUGAUGACCUUGUCCGAGUUUCAGAGAGGAGGUGCAUGGCCGCCGUCAGCUCGUACCGUGAGGCGUCCUGUUAAGUCAGGCAACGAGCGAGACCCGCAUCCCUACUUGCCAGCAGUACUUCACAGUAGCUGGGGACAGUACGGAGACCGCCGUGGCCAACACGGAGGAAGGAACGGGCAACGGUAGGUCAGUAUGCCCCGAAUGUGCUGGGCAACACGCGGGCUACAAUGGUCGAGACAAAGGGUUCCAACUCCGAAAGGAGACGGUAAUCUCAGAAACUCGAUCGUAGUUCGGAUU